rnacentral:rRNA from 1 species
GACGAACGCUGGCGGCGUGCUUAACACAUGCAAGUCGAACGGUAAGGCCCUUCGGGGUACACGAGUGGCGAACGGGUGAGUAACACGUGGGUGAUCUGCCCUGCACUUCGGGAUAAGCCUGGGAAACUGGGUCUAAUACCGGAUAGGACUCCGGACUGCAUGGUCUGGGGUGGAAAGCUUUUGCGGUGUGGGAGGGGCCCGCGGCCGAUCAGCUUGUGGGUGGGGUGAUGGCCUACCAGGGCGACGACGGUCAGCCGGCCUUAGAGGGUGACCGGCCACGCUGGGACUGAGAGACAGCCCAGACUCCGACGGGAGGCAGCAGUGGGGAAUAUUGCACAAUGGGCGCAAGCCUGAUGCAGCGACGCCGCGUGAGGGAUGACGGCCUUCGGGUUGUAAACCUCUUUCAGCAUCGACGAAGCGAAAGUGCCGGUAGGUGCAGAAGAAGGACCGGCCAACUACGUGCCAGCCGCCGCCGUAA